UUAGAAUGUAUUAAAGUGCAUAGUGUGUGUUGUUCUCUACUGGAUUGUGAAUUCCAAGGACCAGAUCUAAAUCUGUGUAUCCUGCUGGCCUUGCCUCCACGUCCGCUGCUGCCUCCAGUUCCCGGCAGCUGCCUGCAGGGAGGCCGACAGGUGGGGCUGGGCACGAGCCACGUGAGCGCAACCUUGGAUCUGACA
ensembl:snoRNA Small nucleolar RNA U89